GGGACAGAGGAAAUUGCACUUAAACCCCAGAAAAUGCCGACUGCUUAUCGCGACCGGGAUGAAGCUUCGCACGUGCAGCGUUUCGACAUCGCGAGCUGUACGUCGACGAAGGACGUUGGUCCUCUCUCGACGUGCCUCUCUCUCGCGAAUGCCUCGGCGAUGCACGAACGAAGCUCUGUACAGAACAACGCAAUUUUCUCGCGCGACAUACGUGCGUAUAUACACACACACACAUAUAUAUAUAUAUAUAUCCUCUCGCGAAAACGACGCGACAAAAACGACACUUCUCGUGUUCGUCGCGAAGAACGAAAAAACCGAGGAGGAUUUUACGAAAGCAAAAUCACACUACCGAAGAAAGAAGGGUAUAACUGAGACAGAAAUUAUCGGUGACUAAUAUAAAAUCGGUAUAUCUCGUCGGUAUAUAUACGCUAUAGAAAUAAAAGUAUACACACUAUAUACGCUAUACGUAUAUAGCUAUACGUAUACACGCUAUAAAAAUGAAAGAAAAGAUCUCUUUGACAAUGAACUAACUGUAUAUCUCUGUGUUGUCAGUGGAUUCAAUACCGUAUAUACUCGACGAACUCGCUCCGGGGAACCGGUUCCGUCGACGCGUGUUAUUCGCGUUCAAGCCCGAGACAUCGAUGCAAGUUUUCCACGCGUUAUGGCAACGCUAAAAUUGCAACAAAUCCCGCCGCUCUCAGCGGUACCGAGAACGGCGCGAGAGGGAGCGCGUUUGACUGCACGCAGAUCUGAUUAGCGCGAUAAUCGAGUUGCUCUCGUCGCUUGCUCGAUCGCGGCGUGACGUUACGCGUUACGCGUGAUACGCGGCAAACACAUUAAACCCUUUUGCUGUGACGGCUGAAUCUGACGUCCGAGUGUCGCUAUCGCUACCAUGAAGAAGAUAUGAUCGAUAUGCCGAGAUCGAGAUAGAUUUAGACACACCGCAUCCAUAUGCCAUCGAGGUGUAGUCUGUGAUGUGACUACAGUGUGCGACUAUCUGGACUGGUGGUGUCGGUGUUGUAAGAUGUUCCGCACUUGUUUGUCGUGUUAUGUACGAAUAGUUCAUGUAUAUAUCCAAAAAAGUGCAUGCAUGGGGGAUAAGUAAACGGGAUAACGGUGAGUUGAUCUAGUAAUGAAUCGGGAGGAUUCUCGAGAAUGCAAAGUAAUUGGAUAAUGCUACCGGCGCGUUACCUUCAUUUCCGAACGCGACUUCCUUUUCGCUUUUUGCGAACAUUUGCGAAUAUUCAGUGGCACUCGCGUCGCGAGCUCAGUCGCCAAUUUCGCAUGCAAUUCUUUUGUAACGCGAAAUAUCUCAUUCGAGUGCAUUCGACUAUACUUGGACUAUAUUCUUGAAUCUUCAAUUAUAAUUCGUUAAAUAUCAGUAGCAAUAAAUUGCGGAUAAAUAAUGCCUUCUAAUAAUGUCUUCUCGACAGGCAGAGAGAAAGGCUCGUCUCUGAUCUCUUGGUGCAAGAGAUAAUGCUCUCCGCGAGCGCUCUGAUAUCGUAAUAUCUACAAUUCUGUACUUGCAAUAUCGUCGUUAUCGUGCUGGCCACCACUGGGCACGCUCGAAAACAGCUCCUAUUACAGAAAUAUGCGACAUUGCAAGAUUAUUCCGUUCCGCAAGAUUGAAGCCCGCGCGGCUUCAAACGUCUGAUCGUUCAACUUCUGGCGAUUACAAUAUAUACGAGCAGAGAAAUACUAACGGCUGGCAAUAUAAAUGAACACUGACGAUGAGUAACUUUUGUAAAAGCAGCCCACUUCAAUAUAAGGCUAAGAGGGGAAGAAUGUUCCUAAGGAUAGGGUCGGUAUCUAAGGAGCGGGGGGCGUGUUCUCAUGUAUAUGUGUCCGUGUCUGACGGAGUUUCAACUAUAAUAUUAUAUACUGACGUAAAUGUAUAAUAUAUAUGUCUGUGCGAGAAUGUGGCGAUGUACGGUGUAAUGUAUAUAGCGUAUGAAUGCAGCACGAAGCUAAAGAGAUACACAAGGACUGUAAGGGGUAACUCCGAAUUGGUCGGUAAUUUUACCUGCUAUAUAGCUUGUCACACGGUUACACGCCGAAAUCUAAGUAAGCAGCAAAAGGGUUGAACGAAAGGUAAUGCUCAAAGGUAAUACACAUCAAGCAACACUGCCGCGACAAUUAAGGCCGCUAUUCUGGUGGUAGAUGCGUAUCCCGACGAAAAACGCGUCCGGACGAGAUUCGCCUCCGACGCGGGAGAAUCGCUUCCGAUAUGUCCAAACGACUCGCGACGUGUCCACACACUUCGCUACCAAAUCGCAAGAAGAAUCGAAAGAGGCCGCGAAUCUCGCUCUUUUUGACACUAGAACUGCCGGAACGAUUAAAGGAAGCGGCUUUGUAAAUUCUUUGGAAAAUUACAACAAUUCGUAACGGCGCAUCUUUUCGCCUUUAAUCGGACUUAAGUUGAACGGGCCAAAGAUUAAAUGAUCACUUCUCCCCUUGCGUUAUUUAUAAUUUUCCAAAACUUGUCAUUUUGACCGUCGCUUUGAUAGAAAAAAGAUUUAUCUAAAAGAUUAAGAUCGGUCUCGGUAAUUCUAGCGUUAAUCUCGAAAUAGCUCCCCAAGCGAUCUAACGCGCGAAAUUUUCCCAAUUUUUACAAUUCGCGCGGUUACUUAUAAUUUGCUGAACAAAGUGCGAAUGCGAGUGGACAUUUCGGAACGGCUUCUCCGACAACCUCGUCGCGACAACCUCGUCGCGAUGAUUUUUCGUCAUAAGGAGCAACUAUCGUAAUCACAGCCUAGCCUCGGGUUUCCUGAGGUCUCCGAUUACAAAGUGCAUGUAUAGAUAUACCUGGAAGAGUUCUAUUACGGGUUCAGUAGCUAGAGCGCAAUUAAACACUUAUACUCUCUUGCUGUGCUACUUUUCGGUGCUCU